rnacentral:rRNA from 1 species
GGCGCAGCAGUCGGGAAUCUUAGACAAUGGGGGAAACCCUGAUCUAGCCAUGCCGCGUGAGCGAUGAAGGCCUUAGGGUUGUAAAGCUCUUUCAGUGGGGAAGAUAAUGACGGUACCCACAGAAGAAGCCCCGGCUAACUCCGUGCCAGCAGCCGCGGUGAUACGGAGGGGGCUAGCGUUGUUCGGAAUUACUGGGCGUAAAGCGCACGUAGGCGGACGAGAAAGUCAGAGGUGAAAUCCCAGGGCUCAACCCUGGAACUGCCUUUGAAACUCCUUGUCUUGAGGUCGAGAGAGGUGAGUGGAAUUCCGAGUGUAGAGGUGAAAUUCGUAGAUAUUUGGAGGAACACCAGUGGCGAAGGCGGCUCACUGGCUCGAUACUGACGCUGAGGUGCGAAAGCGUGGGGAGCAAACAGGAUUAGAUACCCCGGUAGUC